GACGAACGCUGGCGGCGUGCUUAACACAUGCAAGUCGAACGGAAAGGCCCUGCUUUUGUGGGGUGCUGGAGUGGCGAAAGUGUGUGUAAUACUUGAGUAACCUGCCCCUGCCUUUGGGAUAACCUCAGGCAACUUGGGUUAAUACCGGAUAGGAGCUCUCGCUGCUUGGUGGGGGCUGGAAAGUUUCGGCGGUUGGGGAUGGACUCGCGGCUUAUCAGCUUGUUGGUGGGGUAGUGGCCCACCAAGGCUUUGAAGGGUAGCCGGCCUGUGAGGGUGACCGGCCACAUUGCAACUGGGAUACGGCCCAGCCUCCUACCAGAGGCGACAGGGGGGAAUUUUACAGCAUGGGCCGAAGCCUGGUGCGGGAACGCGACGUGCGGGGUGGCGGCCUUCGGGUUGUAAAGCGCUUGCGCCUGUGGCGAGGCGUGAGUGACGGUACUGGGUAAAGAAGCGCCGGCUAACUACGUG
rnacentral:rRNA from 1 species